AUCUCUACCAUUGGAUCUUGCUGAAAUCAAAUCCUGACCAUUUAAACUCUAUUUUUCAACUGCUAUAAUGGCAGUUCUGGGCGGUUCUGUACGAUCCCCUGAUUUUCCGGCCCAUCUUUACCACUAAACACGGUUGCUACAAAACUGGGAUGUGGGCAGAAUGCAGUUGACGACCUCUCUUAUAUAAUAUAAACCCUUGCAACCAAAUAUCCACCUCCAUACAUACUUCUGUUUGCAGUACAAUUCGCCUGUAACCUCCGUAUACAACCAACACUCAUCGCCCAAUAUCUGAUUGAUAAUCAAGAAAUAUGGCGAUGUCGAGGGCGAGCUCUUGCUUUGCAUACCCUUAUCGUUUCUUCACCGUUGUUGCUUAUGCGGGAUUUGGUGCUCCCCCAAUUCGUCAUCCAAAGGGUCACCUCCAAAUUCUCAAUCGAAGUCGCUUAGUUACUUUACGCCCUUUGUGAGCAGCUCCAUCAUCAGAAAGGAAGUUCAAGAAGAUGAAGACCUUCAAUUAUCAAUGGCAGUUGCUCUACUCUUCUUCUCCUUCCUUCUCAGGGUUUAUCCUGCUAUAAUAUAAACGAGAUUGAUUCAUUUUGGCCUACAUUAUCGUCUUGAGUCUCUUGACUUUAAUCGUCUUUAUCACCGUCGGACUGGAUUCUGAUAACCAAUAGUCAUUGUCGAAGAACAAGGGCACCAAUUGAGGCCGACGUUGUAUCACCUCUGCCAAGAGUAUUAAUGUUCACCACACAUGUCUCACCAGUUGAUGUCGACGCCAUCUCGUGUUUGUUUGUGACUAGCAAAGUAGCAAUUGACCGCUUCUUCAAGAGCUUGCCAAGCACGGGGGCUAUCAACUACUUGUAACUAACUGAGCGCAUUAUUUGUAUGUCUUCGGAGACGUUUAGGAAAAUCACAUACCAGGUUCUAGCAAAUGAUUGAGUGCAGUUUGUGUAUUUGUUCUACAAUCUGAUUACAAAAAACUAUCCAAUACCAUGACCAUCAAUUCUUACAUUUUCAUAAUUCUAAUGUUGUUGAUAUUAAAGUAUAUUGAUAUAUUCUCACGUUUCUGGUGCAUGCCUGCCAUUGUGAUUGCUAAUGAAUUGAAUUCUCUACACUUACUGGCUAACUAUAUUGAGGUUAAUUUUUUCGGUUGUUACUUUGCCUAUUAUUUUGUAGAUAUAUGUUGAGUUCAAUAUUUAUAUUUAGGAUUUGUAGUCUCUGCAUUUAAAAUACAGAUGUAAUGUUCCUCUGCUGUUGAUGAAUCAUGUAAGUACACAAAAUGAGCCAACCAUGGUCAGGUAUAUUUCAUGUGAAGUUAAAUUUAUAUUCUCUGAAGCUUGUAUUGCACUAAAAACAUUACACAUUUAUCUUUAUUUUGUUGCAGGGGCUAAUUGAUUAUAUUAAAAGUGACUUUGACAUCAAUGUUCACUGAGAACAAUACACAUGCUGAAUAAAUGGAUUAACAAAAGAACAACUUUUUAAGUUAUGAUAGAGCCAUUCGUAAUGAGCCAAAAUUAAGGCCCAAAAGCAAGGUCUUUUGUGUGAUCUAGGAAACAACAUGAGAACAUUGAAGGUAGGGGUGUGAAUUUCUGACACGACAUGAACCUAACACGAAAUUCGCGGGUUUAGGUUUAGUCUAAACGGGUUCGGGUCAGUUUCAGGUUGAACCCGUGAACCCGUUUAGGUUAACGUGUCGGGUUCAUGUCAACCUGGUCGGGUUAGCGGGUUGACCCGUUUAACACAUUUAUAUUAUAUUAUAUUUUUUUUACAAUAUGUUUUGUGUCAUAAAUUAAAUGGGGUAUGUUUUUAUUCCAUAAUUAUUACUUAGAAAGAGAAAUUAGUAUAAGAUUUUGUAAUUUAAAUAUAAAUGUGUUACAUACAUUUGUGUUUUUUAAUUAAAAUUUAAUUUUAAUAUAGUUAUUUCAGAAAAUAAAAUAAAAAAUAAAAAAAUUCGGGUUAAACGGGUUGUGUUCGGGACUUCGGGUCAACCCGCGAAAUUUCGGGUCGUGUUCGGGGUCAUAUGAAUGAUACGAAUUUUGGGUUCGGGUUCGUGUAAAAUUUUCGGGUACGGGUCGGGUUAAACCCGCUAACCGGCGAACCCAACCCGUUUAGCACCCCUAAUUGAAGGUUUGAACCAUUCCUUAUUAAUAUUCUUUUAGCCCAAUCUUCUGAGGCUCUCAAAUUGGCAAUAUGGACAGGCAUGCGGGCUGAGUGACAGCUCCAAUCAAGCCCGAGUCAAAACAUACCAUAGUAGGCAGUUCAUUCAGGUGCAUAUAUUGAGUCUGCAAUAACAAAAUGCAUGGGCGAUAAAUCAUCUUCGGGAACUCCUUCAAUGUAUUCUGUCAUAAUAUAUGUGCAAAAUGUGGACAGAUAGAAGCGUCCGUUGACAAUGAUAUUGUUCUUUGUGAUGGUUUGUGUGAAGUUGAUACCAUCAAUUUUGUUUGGAUCUACCUCUAUUGAAAGCGCAAGAUUUUACUUUUGAAUCCAGAUGAUCUUGGUUAUAUGAACAAUGAAGUAGCAUCAACAUAAGAUAAGGGCUUGAUAUGCCUGGAGAUAAACAAGAGUUACCAGAUUCGCAUAUGACCCCAUAACUGCAAAGAGAAAUGUUGAGAGACUGGAGUACAAAAACUGUAUGAGGCGAGUUUUCACCUUUAUAAAGUUUGGUUGAGUUGGGUUGGGUUGUAUUUGAUCUUAAUCGGUCCAAUUUAAAAGAUUAAAACUAGCUCAAACGUAUCAAGUAAAAGAAAAGCUCAAACAGGCUGAAAGUGUCAUUAGAAAUGGGAAAUCGGGAGAAACAGUGGCAGAUCUAGGGGGGUUCCUAGGUUCCCAGGAACCCCCUCGGUUUGGAAAAAAAGUAGUGGAAACCUUGGAUGAUUUAGGAUAAAUUAGUGAGAAUCUACCAAAAGGAAACCCCUGGAAAAUCCGCCACUAGGGAGGCAACACCAUGGGGUUGAGACGGUUUUUCAAUCACAAUCAAGCUUCUUCGAGUUCUAUUACCGGAGGGAAACGUGAAAAACCCGACAAUGGAUGGGAAUUAUUCCCUAUGAAUUACAAGCAUCAACAACCACCAUGGCAAUAGUGGUUUGUCUAUUCAUGUUGAUAUGGCUUCCUGUUUAUGAGAAUUAUUCAUGUAGAUUAGGAUAAACUUUUAGUUGGUAGAAUUCGAAUAAAAAACUUCGAGUGUGGGGUGGCAAAAGGGGGCAACAGGUGUGAUCUUAUUCAUGAGUUUAAUUGGGAAGAGAAAGUAGUUUUUUUACAGUGAUUAAUAUAUUAAUUUCCCUUCUUUUAGAAUUUCUUCUCAUAGAGUUGUAAUUAAAUAAUUUCUUCACCAUAUGUAAUAUCAAAGAAAUUUAGAGAAAGACCGCAUAAAAUGGGGUUGGGUGUUAUAAAAUGUAUUUUUAUAACAUUACCUAACCAUGUUUAUCCUCAAGUCUAGGUCCGUAUUCAACUCCAGAUAGGUUUGCGGAUCCAAGACCUUGAGAAACUUAAAAGUCACGUUGGGGUUGGGAUUGGGAUUGGUCCAGGUCACGUGUUUGAUAAACUGGGUUGAUAAACUCUUGAAACCGACCAAACUAACUUAAAGAAAUUCAGCGUGUUAAUAGGUCUAUUAAAUGAUUACACUAAAUUGUACCAAUCUUUUAUAGUGAACUUAUGUUAAUGAGUUGUACUUUGAGCACGAAUAAAACGGUUUUUAUUUAGAAUGCAAUUCAAUAUAGUGAUGAAAUUAUGGUAUAAAAGCAUCCGACCAGCGGGCGGGUGUAUCAUGUUGUCUCUCUAUUUUACUUCUUUGUUUUUAUAGGUUCGUUCAUGUUGUUACUAUACAAUACAUCAACGUAACCCGUCCACCGGACGGGUAUUCAAGCCUGCAAAACUUAUGCAAAAAAGGAAAUCUAUGAGUUAGCAACUAAUGCAUCAACUUAUCAAGAAUUAUUGAUGAUGCUUUGUCCUUAAGCUGUUAUUUAGAGAGGUUACUUAAUAUGAAAGAAGAGGCCUUCUUUGUGUUGGGGAAGCAUAAAGAUAUGGUUCAAUUGUGGGGUGAAAUCUAGAUUCAUUCGAAAAGAAGUUUGCAACUGACUCAAAGUUUUGGAGGUGGAACCUGAUGUAAAAAUCUUACUUUCCCCUGGGAAGAUCGCUUAAUUCGGUGAAUUUAAAGUGCGUGGAAGUGAACUGGAGUGUUCGAAGUUGAUAAACAACCAAACAAAAAGAAACAGGAACCCUCGAGCGUAACUUACGGUUACUACGGCGUAAGUUACGGUAGUUAUAGAACAUCAGCGCACAUGUUUUAAGAUGGGAUGGCAUUUAAAGGGUUUGAAACACUAACUCUUGUGGACGAUGGGGUUUACGGACCUGAAACCGUGACUUACGGUUGUUAUUAGGUGCUCACAAAAAGAACAGCAAGUUCCAAUCAAGGCUUACGGAUAAGAGACAUGGCCUACGGAUUUAAUAGGUAACAAUAUUAAUUAUUUUGGGACAUCUUCAUACUCACGAAAGUCAGCAGCAGCCAUUAAACAUUGAUUUGGGCUCUCAUAAUCAAACUCAUGACCCAACAUCAUCAUCAUCGACUUUUGUGGUGGGCCUUCACAUAUCACGAAAGAUUGGCAGCCACUAUCGAUUAUUGGAGCAAUUGACAACAAUUUUGGGCUUCCAUAAUAUCUUCAUAUAUCAUCACAGCACAUGUCACGCAAGAGGCAGCCAACAUGAAUUCUUUUUGGGCUCUCAAAUAUCACUUGAUCAUGGGGGACUUCUAGUGGGCCACGAAGAGUAGCAAAUGAUAUUUUUUUUUUUGGGGGGGGCUUUCAUAAAAAACUUCAUCAUCAUUCCAUCGAAGUGAUGGGGAGCAGCCGUAGAGGGAACAUCACUUUUUGUCUCUAGAAAUCCACCAUCAUUAUUCAUCAUCGAUCCUCCACACAACACCAAAUCGAUGAUGAACUCAACUUCUUUCCAAGCUUUUGAAGGUUGUUCAAGUACCAUGAGCGGCUAGUCGUCCCGUGACCAUCUCCGAGACUAGGGUUUAUGUUUGAACAUUAGGGUUGCUUAUGUUUACAACUUUUUGGAUUGAGAAUCGAUUAAUCUUUCGGUUAGUUAUUCUUAUUGUUUU